GCGUUGGUGGUGCAACGGUUUAGCAUACGCUUCCAGAAAGAGCGAGAUCUGGUUCAAAUCCCGGCUGAAGCA